UACGUAGGGGGCGAGCGUUGUUCGGAAUUACUGGGCGUAAAGGGCGCGCAGGCGGUCCUUCAAGUCAGAUGUGAAAGCCCCGGGCUCAACCUGGGAACUGCAUUUGAGACUGGAUGGCUAGAGUGCGGGAGAGGAGAGUGGAAUUCCCGGUGUAGCGGUGAAAUGCGCAGAUAUCGGGAAGAACACCCGUGGCGAAGGCGGCUCUCUGGAACGCAACUGACGCUGAGACGCGAAAGCGUGGGGAGCGAACAGG
rnacentral:rRNA from 1 species